AAUCUAUAGACAGUUGGCUUUAAACUCCUAUGUCAUGUUGUUAUAAAUCACAACAUAGAAUCUAUAGACAGUUGUUAUAAAUCACAACAUAGAAUCUAUAGACAGUUGUUAUAAAUCACAACAUAGAAUCUAUAGACAGUUGGCACUAAACCCCUAUGUCAUGUUGUUAUAAAUCACAACAUAGAAUCUAUAGACACACGGCAGGGUGAUAAAGACACUGGGCUGCUGAGGACAUCAGAUGCACCAGACACUGGACAUACAUCACAUUACUCUAGACUACUGUUCUGUCAGUUCAGACACAACGGAGCUCUAGUUAUUCCCGUAGCAGGGAUAGAAUGGAGACUAAAAGCUGCUACGUUUUGUUUGUAGGAGCAACCCCAGGUGAUCUGGGACAUAACAAGUUGAUAGAGCUGAAGAUUCUGUGUUGCAGUUUUCUUUAACCUUUUGGAUCAAUUUCUCUUCAAAUGAAUAUAUCAGCUUCGAUUUUCAUGUUUGUGAAAAAAACAAGUAUCAUAGUGUGUGAUCUGGUGAACUGACCUUUCACAUUCAAACUGACCCCUGACCCCUGACCCCUGUGAGAGAUGACAUCAUCCAAACUCGUCCUGUACUAGACGCAAAACACAGACCAGGUGUGAGAACACAGACAAACAAAGAGAUAGCUUUGUAGCUAACGACGACACCUCACCUGGAGCACUGGAGGCUGGUGGGAGCGGGAGAUAUCGGAGGACGGGCUCACAUUGUUAACAGCUGGAAUGGGAUAAAACGGAGCGGUAUGAAAACGCGUGACGACUGAGCCUGUCAAUUUAACUACAUCUCCACCCACCAGCCUCCACUGACCCGUAACCAAGGUAACCAACAUGUCCAUCUAUAGAAGACAAGUCAUCGGGGUGUGAGGUAAAGCUACAAUACAAAACCAAUGAGAAUAACAUCACUAGCUAACUAAAGAUACAUGUAACAGUGAUUAUGCCAGUCACUUCUGAGUGGUCAGUCGGGCUUGAUGUUUCCAUAUAGUGCCAUGUUGUGAAUACAUUUAUAAUUACAUGUUAAUGGAGUAAAUUGAAAACCUGUAUUUAAAAUUAAAAAAAAAAAACUGUUCCAAAAUAUUACAGAUGAGUAGUUGUGUUAAAGCUAAGGGCAUAUUUGUUCUCAAAUGGAUUCUACCGGGUCAGAGAAAGAAGGAACGAGCAAAGAUAACUCUGUCCUAUAUAUUACAUGUCUAUUUUUCAUAUAACAUAAUAAAUACAACUUGGAAUUAUCAGCAGCUUACUCCUGGUGACGAUUCUGUUUUUCUGAUCAACUGUCUCAUCUCUGUCCGCCAUUUUAUGUCCUUAAGCUCUUUAUCAUCGUAAUAUAUAGUUAUUGUCUUAUACAGAACAUCUGCUAUUAUCAACAUCCUGUAAAGACACAGGAAGAGGACUUCUGAAGGGAAGUAGAGACAUGACCUUGUUAUUUCUAGCAGCUUGAAGAGGAGCGAGGGAGAGAGAGAGGCGUGAGGGAGAGAGAGGCGCGAGGGAGAGAGAGGCUGGUGGGAGAGAGAGGCUGGUGGGAGAGAGAGGCGCGAGGGAGAGAGAGGCGCGAGUGAGAGAGAGAGGCGUGAGGGAGAGAGAGGCGCGAGGGAGAGAGAGGCUGGUGGGAGAGAGAGGCGCGAGGGAGAGAGAGGCGCGAGGGAGAGAGAGGCUGGUGGGAGAGAGAGGCGUGAGGGAGAGAGAGGCGCGAGGGAGAGAGAGGCGUGAGGGAGAGAGAGGCGCGAGGAGAGAGAUGCUGGUGGGAGAGAGAGGCGCGAGGGAGAGAGAGGCGCGAGUGAGAGAGAGGCACGAGGGAGAGAGAGGCGCGAGAGAGAGAGAGAGGCGCGAGGGAGAGAGAGGCGCGAGAGAGAGAGAGAGGCGCGAGGGAGAGAGGCGCGCGAGAGAGAGAGGCGCGAGGGAUAGAGACAGAGGCUAUAAACGGUGCUCCUAGAAAUAGAACUCGAGGACUCUCACAGCGUUUGAUGACUCACCAGGUUAAUGGUUUCUCUAGGCUGUGUGUGACUCUCUCUGUCUCAUUCCCAACCUAUGCGACUGCAGAUAGGAUGGGAGAGGAGGGGCUGCUGCAAACUGUCUCUUAUGGUAAUCAAUCCACGAGGAUUCAAAAGCACAUUUUAGACAUUUUAUUUUUCAGGUGUUGGGUCAUGUAACUCAUUACACAGACCUUCCAUCCAUACCAUCAUAUAAUAACUCAUGUCGUGUCUUUGGCUAUGCCGGAUUAAGUGAUAUGACAUGCUAUUCUAUCAAAUAAUGUCUCUGUAAUUAAUAUUACCUGAUUGAGCUAAUCAUGUAAAUGUCAUUAACUAGAGAGUCGGGGCACCACGAAAUAAUAUUUAUAGAGCUGUUAUCUUCCGAAUAAACUCUUAAAGACCUGG
ensembl:lncRNA